AGUAAACAUAUAAAGUGAAUUAAAAAUGGUAGUAUGCUUAUGUUACGCACCCUUAAGCACUUGCCACAAGCAGCUUGUCCACGAGGUCCAACAGGGCCACAGAAGGCAGUCCAUCCAUACUUCCGACGCCAAGCCAAGGGCUUGUUUGCAUCCCAAGUUGAGCAAUAAGCACUUGCAGCAUUCAAGUCCCAUCCAAUUCUUUCAGGAUUGUAUAAGUGAUAAGUUGCCCUCACAUUAGAAGCACUCUGGGCUGCAGCAAUAGCAAGUGAACAAAGAAACAACAGCAAGCAUAGGCUUAAUUUACCCAUUUUUCUCUUGUGUAGUGUUUUGGUUGAUUAAUUGCAAAGAGUUGUGUUGGAAUUUAUAGGGCCAGAGAAUUGAGAAAGAUGGUGUUUUGGUUGACUAAAAUACCAAAGGGUUGAAUGGAUAAAGCAUGAUCACAGGGUAAGUCCUCACCUUUACUUCAAGUCUUCUCUAAGCCGUCUCUAUAUUUGAAAAUUUUAGAUGGGUGCAUAAAUAUUAGACAGAUAAGUUCGUCGUACAAAUAUUUUUUUUCUUUUUUUUAUCAACAUUUUUUUUCUUUAAUCGGAGUAUUAAAAGAGGAAAUAUAUUGAGUCUCUAAAUUUAAUAUAACACGCAUAAAACAUGCACGAACUUGAAUUAACACUCUUAAGUAUGUGGCGAGAAAGAAUAUAAGAUUGUGACAUUAGUUUGUAAAUGUAGUAUUAUUAUUCAUUUUAAAUUAAUAAUGUUUUAUUAUUCUUUUUCCAUAUCGAAGUCUAUGAAAAAAAUAAACAAAUAAAAGAGAGAUAUUGGGAAAAUGGGUAAGAGAAAGUUGCUGGUCAAAUUGGGCGACCGAAUUGUGUCAUCAUGAUUCAGCUUCUGGUGGUCCUAAAAUGUGCCUCAUCCCUGGCUAAUUCUUAUCUGAAGAACUAUGUAAUAAUUAUCAUUGAGUACUGGUUGGAUAACCUUUUAAACGUGGGUUGGUAACAAAUAUUUGUUGGUUCCUUUUUAGAUUAAACAGAGAAACAAAAAUCUCAUUUGUAAUUAUUAUUGCGAAUAGAAUAAAUUAAUUAAAGAGUUAUGUAUGAUAAAUUUUGUAUUACACCCACCACUUCGACGAGCUCGAAGGAGUCACAUAGAGGGUCAGUUAGAAUGUUCGAAAAAUCUAACUAUUUGAUCAUGCAAUAGUUGAAAGAGUUUAUUAAAAAGCCAAAGGAAAGGAAAUAAUUUGUAUUCAUCAUUUACCGUCUAUUUUACAAUAAUAUAAAUACACAAGCUAUUGUAACAAUUACAAGAGGAAGUCCGACGAAAAUAAAUGAAGGAGGCUAAUAGUUGUCUGAUAGGAGAAAAAUAAAUGAAGGAGGAUAGUAGUUGUCUGAUGAGGUUAGUGUCAAUUAUUAUAUCUAUUUUAAAAAUCAUCGUUGCAUGUCAAAAGUCAUCAUUGCAUGUCAUCAUUGCAUUUUUACACGUGCUUUGUAAUUUUUAUGCUUGCCUGCCAAUAGAUUUAUUGACAACAUUGCUUCCAAUUCCUGUAAUCGUUGGUGCAAAUAUCACAUUAUUACAAAUUAAUAAUAAGUACUUAAUUUCAUUCUCAUAUUGACUUAAAAUGUAUUGUGUCCGGCCUUUCAUAACAUUGAAAUAAUGGAACUAUUUGCGCCCCUCUAAUACUCUUUCGAACCCCUUUACUAGAUAGCCCAUUAAUAACUUUAAUAAUGAAUAAUUCCGUAAUCGCACCCCUUCGCCACAAAUCCCCCUAACCCCUUCGUUUUUCUUGGUAAACCUACGUGUUAAUCUAUCUCUGUUACGUACAUUCUAGUUGAUUUGGUAGGAGAAUAUAUGACUAUAUAUAUUAUGACAAUUGAUGUUUACCACUGUUUAUCCAAGGGUUUCAAAAAUCUGUCUUUUUCGAACUUUUUUUAAAAGAAGGGGAAAAAAGACAGAUGGGUUAUUUUAUUAGUUGAAACUCCAAAUAAUUUUUCUGGGGUUGAAAGAGUUUAAAUUCAACUACGACUCUGCACGUACGAUUGUGUUUAAACUAAUAUGUCCAUUUACAAAGGUGAUUCGCAAAGAAAAAGUUAAAAUUCUUGGGGUUUUUAAUUUGAACUGGAUUACUGAAUGUAUUGUUACGCAAGUUGAUUUGACGAUUCAAAUAUUAAUAAAAGAAUUAUUAGUGGUUUUAAUAGAUUUUUAGAGGGGUGCCAAUAGCACCACUGACAGUUAAUGAUUCUGAUAUUUCCCUGAAAGAUUUCACGAGUUCAAAACGACGUGCAGCUAUUAAGGAUUUAGCAAUAGCUCUACACAAUUAUCAAUUAUUUAUUGUUAUUUAUACCUUUCAAUUAGGAGAAAUUUUACAAUGCGUUAGAAUUAAUACAAUUAAUUAAUAUAUGUAUGACAUGUGUAUUUAUAUAGAGUUUUUUAAAAUAAAUAAACACACGUUAUAUUUAUUAGUUGUAUAACUGAUAUGACAUUUCUAAUAUAUUCUAAAAUUUCUCAUCAAUCAAUCAUAUAAUAAUAAAUGUACGCGUACUGACAACUUAGCAAAUGAGAGAUUAUACAUCGAGAACACUUAAUAACAUUUCCCACAACGAUUUUGGUGGAGAACUACAAUAUAAUUAAUGAUCCAUGCAAUAUGUCCCUGCGUGAAUGAUACAAUCAUGUAUUUGUCAAAAUUAACUCAUUGUGAAUUCUUAUUCUUUCGUCAUAAAGUUGGCUUGUGCCUUGUAUAUAAUUAAUCAACACUCUUAUUAUUCAAGAAAAACUUCCACAAUUAUUGUACUUACAAUGUUGGUCUAUUUGAUAUAUAACACAGCUUCAUCAAUCUCCACAGUUAACAAACUGGUAGUUCACUAUAAGCUGGUUUUGAGAAUUGCCUCUUCCAACCAGCUGCCGGAAAACACUGGCAUCCAAAUCUAGACCUCCAUUGCUGCACUGAUCAACAAUUCUCACUGUUACUUGAGCUCCUGUCCCGCUAUUAGUCACCUGCAUGCACAAAAAAUUUUCAAUAAGGCCAUCUAAUUUGCAUCUUCAAGCAACCAUAUAUAAAGUGAAUUUAAAAAGGAUAGUAUCUAAUAUCUCACACCCGUAAGCACUUGCCACAAGCUGCUUGUCCACGAGGUCCAACAGGGCCACAGAAGGCAGUCCAUCCAUAUUUGCGACGCCAGGCCAAGGGCUUGUUUGCAUCCCACGUUGAGCAAUAAGCACCUACAGCAUUCAAGUCCCAUCCAUGUUGUUCAGGAUUGUAGGAGUGGGAAGUUGCUCUCACAUUAGAAGCACUCUGGGCAUCGGCAAUGGCAAGUGAACAAAGAAACAGCAGCGCACAUAGGCUUAAUUUACCCAUUUUGUGUGUAGUGCUUUGGUCAAUUGCCAGUUGUGUUGGAAUUUAUAGGGCCGGAGAAAGAUAGUGUUUUGGUUUAUUAAAAUAUAUGGCAAUAUCCGAAAUGGAAAAAGCAUUACCCGAUAUGUCUCGCCUUGACAUGACCUCACGCCUUUAUUAUCAUAAUUUCUAGAUUUGUUGGACUUUCGAGCAUUCUAGAUGGAUACGUAAUAUGAGAGAGAUAGACUUGUUGUACCAAUUAAUUUGGCAGAUCAUAUAUAUAGUUGUCAUGUGUAGGAGUGACAUUUUUGGGACGAGUACAUGAUGUGUCAUAAAUAACUGUAGUUAAUAAUUUUUUAUAAUAUUUAAGUGAAUUUGUUGUAUUAUCUCUUAAUCGAAUUAAUGAAUAAUAACUUAUCAUUUGAAAUAAAAUUUUAAAAUAAAUAGCAAUAUUCUUUGGGAUUAUUAUACGAUUAUUCCAUACGAUUUAUAAGGAUGGCAAAAUCCAAUUUCAAGAAGCAACAAGUAUUAUUGAAAACAUACUUUACAGAAGCCAAGCAUAAACAUAUCACUUGGAUUUAGUUAUAAAUUAGGUAAUUAUUAACUUAUACAAUAAGUGGGUCAUAUAGGAAAAUAAGAACUUUUUUUUUUAUAAAAUCAUUAUUUUAUAAAUUUAUCAAACUAUUAAUUUACCACUGUUGUUCCCAAGUGACUGAGAAAAACUAUUAUUUAAUUAAAAUUAUCAAUAUAUUUAUUGGGUAUUAAUUCACCGUAAGUGCACAUGACAAAGACGAUUGGACACUUAUUAGAUAAAGACAAAAUUAAUAAAGUUGGUGGUGAUAUUUCUACCCCACAAAUUCUAUAAAUCCACUCCAUUUUUAGAAAAAAAAUUAUAAAAUUUCUCAUUAUUUUUAAAAAUUUCAAAUAAAGAAGAAUUCUGAAGAACUAGUCAAUUAAAUCUAUCUUAAUUUAUUUUGAUGUGACUUAUAUUUUUUUUAAUUAUAUUUGACUAAUAAAAUUGCUUUAACCUAAAUUUAAAUUGAUUAUUUUACCCUUAAAGGAUAAAAAUACCAGAAAUUGAAUUUAACUUCAACAAUUUUUUAAUUUUGUUCAAAAUGCAUUAUUUCUAAAUAGUUAAUUCUACUUUAUUAGUAUCAUUAUUAAUUUUUAAUUAAACUAACAUAAUGUCUUUAUGAGAAAAUACUCAUUAAAUUAUUAGGCUAUCAAAUUUAUGCCAUUUACAUGUAAAAUAUUAAAAAUUAUUAGAGUUCAUUUAAGAAGUUAGAUUAUAAGUCACAAAAUUAAGUACCUAAAGUAUUAGGUACAAGAACACAUAUUUUUUUUCGAGCAAGUGGGUCAUUUUAUGUCAUAAAGAAAAAUAAUUAAAUAGAACUUAUAUUAAAGCUACUUUGAUAGUAAGAAAAAAAUAAGAAUGAUUUAAUUGAUUAAUUACAUAAAAUUUUUUAUUGAUUUGUAUUUAUUAGAAAAAAAUGUAUUUAUUGUAAAUAGUUUUUAGAAGUGGGGUGGGUUUACACAAAUAAUGUGUAUUUAUUAGAUAAAGACAAAAUUAAUAAAGUGAAUGAAUUUCUUUUAGGGAAAAAGGCAUCUACACCUCUAAAGUAAAUAUUUAUUUAAAAUCUCAACAAUAAAUACAAAUAUUUUAUUAAAAUAAAUAUAAUAAUUUAUAUAAAAGUAUUUUAUUAUUGUUAGUCUACUAGAUAGAUUACAAUAUUUAUAUUUAUUAGAAAUUUUAAAAUUAUUUUUUAAAUUCUCCAUUCAAAGAGUAUUAUGGUCAAAAGGAGUCUUCGUCUCCCUAAAACUUUAGGGUCUCCAUGACCAUUUCUCCCAACCUUAGGGGUGUAGAUGUCAUUUCCCCUUUAUUUUAUAAUGAUUUUUUUUUUGUUCUAGUGGUUAUAUAUAUUUUUUUGUGUAAUUAUCAAGUACAAAUAUCAUUAUUACUCGGAUUGAAUUAUACACCCUCAUUAAACAUAUUUUAAUGAAAAAUCUAACCAUUUAGUCAUGCAAUAGUUGAAUGAUUUAUUGACAAAAUUUCUUCUAAUUCCUGUAAUCGUUGUGGUGCAAUAUGACAUUGUUACAAAUUAAUAAAGAAAACUUAAAACUUUGGAGGAAGGGUUGGAUCUUUAUUCUUACAUGAAAUUCUUCAAAUUUUCAAGCCGAAGGCGAAGAUUGUCAUUCCAGCAGUAUACUGACGCUCAACAAUCUCAUAUUGAUGCUGGUGUCGUGUUGGGCCUUUGAUGCGUCUCAGAAUUCUCAUUUUCAUUGCUACUGUUAGCAGCCCUCUAAAGUUCUAAUGUAACCUCCUUUCUUGGGAAAAAGCCCUCAUAUGAUUAAACGUAUUUUCUGCUUUGAAAUAUCUUUACGUCAAUAACAUAAAUACCACUUAAUUAACUCAUUCUCAAUAACACUCCAUAUUAAAGUGUUUAUUCUCAUUUUUGAAGAAAAUUUAUUUUAAAUCAUGAUCAUUGUUGUGCAUAACAAUCAAUCCAACGGUCUUUUACUGAAGAAAUGUUGAAUAAAAUAAUUUGAGAUUCUUUAACCAUUCAAUUUAUUUUCUAAAUGUAAAAUAAAAAGUUCAUUUCUCCAUGAUAAUCUGAUAUAGUGACAUAUGUGAUAAUAAGCAAUAGUGUAGGAGAAUUUACACUCAAUUAGUAGCCAUUAAAAAAAAAAAGAAAAGGCACAACAAAGGUAAAACUUAUAGGUUACACAUGAUUAAUUGAUUUUUCAUUUGGAUGACAUGGAUUUACUUUUCAUAUACCUAAUUAUCAUUACUUUAUUUAGUUUCAACAUUAUAACUUGAAAAUAAAGUUGGUGUUGCAUCUAUUUACAAUCUACUUGACGUUUUUUAAUGUAGUCAAAAGAUUGAUUAUUCUUGCAAUGUUUUCAAAUUUUUGGGUGAUUAUUUUAUAGAAACAUAGAAUGAAUUAUUAAAAAGUGAGAAGGACAGAUAUUUAUAUGGGUAUUACUGGGAACGGGGAGGGUAUUUUUAAAAAUUUAUAUUAUUUUAUUUGUUUAAUGGGGUAAUUUUAGAAAAGGGGUUUUGCUAGGGACCAUUAAUCCAACUCCUCAUUUUUUACUAGGUGUUGGGCAAAUGGUGGUGAUAUUUCCCACUUCAUUUGGCAAAGAUUUUAUGAGUAUGUACAAGGGAAAUUCUAUAUGAACCGCAUGUUACCAAUAAGGAUUUCUGACGAUACCUCUACACCACCUUCAACUUGUUACUUGUAUUAAGAGAAUUGUUGUCAGAAAUCCUUAGUGGCUCGGUAUUUUGAUCGAGCCAAAUUCUUAAUGUCGCAUCAUUACUUGAUGCAUGUAAUCUUAUUACUCUUUUAUAUGCACCAAUAUUCACACAAAUAGAUACAAUAGCUCUACCUGAUCAAAGAUUUUGGGUCCACCUUUGAUUACUACAACAACAAUUAAUAGAGAAAUACAACAUUGUAAUUAAAGGAUCUUGUAAUUAAUUUAAUUUCAAUGAGAUCACAACACGAACAGAGUCAUUAUCAACUCAUAAUCUUUCACAUUCUUAAUUUAAUUAAAUUAAUCAACAUUCCUAUUCAAUAAACAUUUCAUCAAUUAUUAUAAUUAUUAUGUCUUUUUAUUUUAUUCAUAUUCAUAAUUAGAUUCAAUCUCCACAGUUAACGAACUGGUAGUCCACCAUGAGGUGACCUUGAGCAUUGCCUCUUCGGUCAGUAUCGAGCUGCCGGAAAACACCAGCGUCCAAAUCUAAACCUCCAUUGCUGCACUGAUCAACAAUUCUCACCGUUGCUUGAGCUCUUGUGGCUCUAUUAGUCACCUGCAUGCAUAUGCAAUUUCAAUUGGUUUAUUUCCUUUUCUGACUAUUAAGCUCUUAAUUUAUCACCAACUCUUCUCCUACUCAUCCUAUGAAUUUUUAUUGUCUAUCAUCUGCAUCUUAAAGUAGGCAAAUAAACGAAUUUGAUUGUUUUAUAAAUUUGUGUUAAGACUUUUCUUAAAUACUAUUAUUGAACUCUUAUCUAUCAGUUUAAACUUUUGGGUCAAGCAACUUCCUAAUAAUUUGUACUUUUAACUUUUUUACUUGUUCUAUUUUUGUGUUCAUUUUAAUGGUAAGGCUUAGCACGUAUCUAAGUAGACAUACCAAUACUUCUUCAUUUUAUUAAUAAAUUUCUGUGAAUCUGUCACAAUUUUCUAAAAAACGGUAAUAAAUAUAAAAUCUCGAAAACAUUUUGCUUUUAAAAAAUAAAAACACAUGAAAUAUUGAAAGGGAGGAUGAAUUUUGCUACCCUCUAAUGUAAAAAAUUUCACAGAAAAUACAGCUCAACCACAAAACAAUCAAGAAUGAAAAUCAUAGAAAAAAUACGAGCAAUAAAACCCAAAAACUGUGGAUUGGAAAUAUCAAUAAUAUCUCAUACGUUGUGAUAUAUAGUUAUCUUACCCUUAAGCACUUGCCACAAGAAGCUUGUCCACGAGGCCCAACGGGGCCACAGAAGGCAGUCCAUCCGUAUUUCCUGCGCCAAGACAAGGGCUUGUUUGCAUCCCAUGUUGAGCAGUAAGCACUCACAGCAUUCAAGUCCCAUCCAUUCUGUUCAGGAUUGUAAAAGUGAUAAGUUGCUCUAACAUUAGAAGCACUUUGGCCAUCACCGCUGCUGCUGCUGCCGGGCCUACAAUUACUUUGACAAUUCUUAGAAGGUGAGCAAUACUCAUCAGUUGAGCCACAAUAACCAUACUGGCUGCAACAUAGGUUGUUGGCACAAGUCCGGCCACCGGCUUGCCGGCCGCAUUGCUGGGCAGCGGCAAGAGCCAUUGAACAAAUUAGCAACACCAUGCAUAAGCUUAAUUUUCCCAUUUUUAAUUCUUUUGUUUGUGAAGAUUUAUUGAGUGGUACUACAUGAAUUUAUAGGGAACCGAUAUUUUAAAAUGUUAGAGCAUUACGUAACAUGUCUUAUUGACUUCAAGACUUAUUCAAACGAUCAAAUCUUCUAGUUGCAGAUUUCUUUGACUCUCGGGAAUUUCAACUUAGAUUUGUUCUUGGAGAACAAUGAUAUACUUUUCUUCCUCAAUACGGGCAAGUUUCUGAAGAAGAGAGAUAACGAGAUGGGAAAAAUGGUGGUUUUAAAUUUUGCUGGUCAAACCGGGCAACUGAUUUGUGUCAGCAUUAUGGUUUUCUUGACGGUGGUCACAAUUAAUGUGGUUUAUCCGUAUCAAUUCUUAGCUCAAGAAGUAAUGUACCUUCUUAUUGACUGUUAAUUCUGAUAAAAUUUUAAACAUGGAUCGCCUUGUAUUAAUUAUAAUAUUUUGUUGGGACAGGGACAUUUAAUUAAUCGUUUAUCUAACAAUUUGAUCCUGCAAUAGUCAAACUGAUUUAUCCACAACAGUUCCCCUUAUUCCUCUAAUUCUUGGUUCACAAUUACAUGGAAGAGGGAAUAUAAAGAUUAUUGUGUUGUUGAUUGUUUAGUUAUUCACUGAAUUUAUGUUUAGAUUGUUGUAGUAAAAUUUCUCUGUAGUGAUAGUUUAUGUAGAAACAACCUUUAUAUAGUUAUAAAAAAUUAUAGUUUUGAUUUGAACUAAUUAUAAAUAAAAAUAGACUCCACAUUAAUUAUAAUAAGUUAUAAUUUUUCUACAUCCCUUCUUCAAGAAUCUCUAUAUAGUGGUACUUAUCUGUAUAUUGCAAAAAUCUAAUGUUAUCUUACAUAAGAUUUAAGAUAAAAUAAAAAAUUUUCUAAAUUCAUUUACGACAAUAUAUAAUUUAUUCUUUAGAGUUAUUACUAAAUUAUUGCACAACAUUUUUAGAACUUAUAUUGAGAGAAAAACAUUGAAGAGAACACAAAUAUCUGGACUUUUAAUAUGACUUUCGAUAUUUAGAGUACUAUAUAGAUACAUGUACUAAUUUUCUAUGUCUAUCUUUCACCAAUAAUUAUACAUUUGAUUUGAUAUGCUAUACUAAUUAAUUAUUAAUGUAGUGAAUAUUUUAUUUCUAUAUUACUUGCACUAAGAAUAAUUAAGUUUAAAUAAUAAUUUUUGUAACUACACCUCUAUUAAGUCAUAACCUUUAGAUAGUAAUAAAAAUUUGUUUGAUCCUAACGUUACGACUGUAAAGAACUUACAUGAUGUAUGUCACCUCUUGCGCUUGCUUCUCUUUUUUUUAAUCUAAAAUUCCUAAUGACUUUUCUCUAUUCCUUAGCUUAUAAAAUAAGAUAAGGCUAUUUUUUCUUUUUUAGGGUGGAUGCUCAUUGAUUAAAUACUUGUUUAUUUUUAAUAUUUUAAAAAAUACUCCAACAUUAGUUAUGUUAAGUUAAAUGUUAAUUUUUCUUUGUUUCUACAAUAUUACUUUUGGAAUGUUGAGUAAUAUACGAUGUGAUCCUAAGCAAGAGUCUUGGUAGCAUUAAAUAAAAGAAACUAAAGGUUAAUUUACUAAGCUAAUCCUUUAAAAAAAGUCAUUAGGGGGUUGUUUGGCUUUUGUCUAAAAUCUGAAUUUUAAUUAUUUUCAGACAUUUAUAGCUUUUAAAUUUUUUGUUGUUCAUCACUUAUAUUAGAUUAUAAGAUGUUUAGAUCUGAAUAAAAAAAGUUAAAUAUUUUGACUUUUAUUUGAAUGACAAAACAUCUUAAUGAAAUUUUAAUAUUCUCUCUCAUUAAUACCCUUAUUAAAUAAAUUUAUUUCUUAUUUUUAUUAUUUUUUUAUUUAUCCCUUUUUUAUGUACAUGUAUUCAACUAUAAUUUUUUUUUUUUUGUUGAAUGAGAAUUUUAAACAUAAUAGAGCUUUAAUGUUUUAUAAUAGGUUCAUCUCUUUGUAUUUAUAUUUACUAUUUUUAUAAUAGAUUUUGAAUUUUAUUUAACUCAAUAAUUUUAAUUCAAAUAAUUAAACAAUUCUUGAUUGGCUUAUGUAAUUAAUAAGAAAAAAUAUCAGUUUAAUAUAUUAAAAAUAACAUUAUAAGUAUCAUUUAUUAACGUAAAAAAAUGUGUUAGAUAUAUAUUUUAAUUUUCAUGUUUUGUUAAGUUAAGCAUUAUCAAUUUUUUUACGAAUAAAAUAAUUUAUUUAUAAUUUGUUGUGUGUUUGAACAAUGAAUAUAUGUUAAAAUAUCAUAUUUCAAAUGUUUUCUUUUUUGAAAAACAAAUAACCUAACACUUAUAUUCAAAUAUUGAAAAAUAAAAAUAAACAUGUCAUUCAAAUAUAUAUAUUUAGAUCUAUUUAGACUUCAAUCAAAUUCAACAUACAUUCAAAUUUCAACAAAACAUCAAACGCUACCUAUUUUUCAUUCCAAGGUAUAAUUUUCUGUUUCAUUCAUUUUAUGUGUUCUCCCCAACCCAUCAAGAUUCAUUUAAAAGAAAUAUAUAUAUCUACGAAAAUUUUGAUGAGGUUUCAUUUGGCUGCACAAACAAAUCAAUUGCCUAUCAUCAUUUAAUGCACCCCCGUAAUCUCGAAAAUUCAUCAAUCCACCCCAACCAUUUUACAUUUUUAAUUAAUUUUCGAGGGUGAAUUGAUAACUUUCCAGAAUUUUGAAGAUGAAAUAAUGAUAAUCAAUUUACUUUGUCGGGCAAUCAAAUUUUACCCUUUUGAUAAAGAUACAUCAUUAUUCUGAAGAUAUGAUCUUGAAGCUUCUCAAUUAAGUAUCAUGGCCAUUUGGCCAUUACAAUUUUAUUCUAUUUUUUUGGUAUCAAUUGGCAUUUGAGGCUUUUUCUUUCUUUCUUUUUCUUUUGGCCUUUGAGCCAUUAAAAAACAAUGAUAUUUUUCUGUCCUAGAAAAUCUUCCAAGAUUAAGUUUCCAAUCGAAAGAAUCUGAUUCGAGCCAUCUCAUUCACAGGAGCUUCUUCCCACACAAGUCACAAUAAUUUAAUGGAUUGAAUCAUGAACAAAGUUUAUUUAUAUAUCGGUUACACAUAACAUAUUUUCUCAUUGACAGAUGAUUAAUUCUAACAUAUAUAUGAGCACACCCAUUUUUCUAUUCGUGCGUUGAGACAAAUUUAUUUAGUUCCCAGCAGCUGCAGGCGGCCAACAAUUAAACUGACAAUUUUCGGACGGCGAGCAGUAAUCAUAAGUGGAGCCACAAAAACCAAACUGGCUGCAGCACAGAUUGUUGGGACAAGGCCUGUCAAGCCCUUGGCGGCCACAUUGUUGAGCCUUCACAGUAUAUGCCACCAUUGUUAGGCUUACAAUUAAUACCACAUAAAUGCAAAGCAAGAGGCUAAACUUUCUCAUCGUCAUCUUGUGAAUGUUGUUUAUUCUGGAUUUAUGAGUUUGUUUAUUUAUAUGCAGAAACCGAACCACCCAGGCCUGCCCUACCACUAAUUGAAUGAGGCAAUUUUUAUUUUUUGUUUUCCUUUUAAUUAGAGCACACUUUUUAGGAAGGCACAACAAAUAUGCCUAUUAAUACGUCUGCUAAAUAGGUACUGUUAAAACAUUUAUUUUAACAAUAUUUUAAUUGAUUCUACCAAUUUUGACAUUCCUUGUGCAUACAAUUAUAUUAAAAUCCUUGGAAAAAAGAACUUUCAUAUGAUUAAUUACGUUUUAUUAUGUUCUUCAGUCUUAUACGCAAAUUAAUACAGCUUUUAUAAAGAUAACGUUUUUUGGAUAGGCACCCUCUGUUCAAAUCCUAUGGAAAUAGAGGGCUAAAUGAUAUAUAUGUAUAUAUAUAUAUUUUAAUUACUGUUGAAGUAUGUUGUAAGGGGCAAAAAUAGUGUUUUUUUUAAAAAUUUUUUGCCCUUUUAAUGUAUUUAACAUCUUUUUUUCAACACUGAUCCUUUAUUUUCGUUAUUUCACUUUGUAAAAAAAUAUGAAUUUCGAAUGGUAAGACUUAUUGUAUCAUUCCUAGUAAGGUAGAUAAAUUUUUUAUUUUAUCUAUAAAUUAAAGUCACUAAUCCUGCAAAUGUUGAAUUGAAAUAUCAUUUUAGUUAAUCCCAAAUUAAAAUGAAUUUCUUGCUACAAUGCCCAGUGGUGAAAUUGUUUGUUACAAAAUAAGAGUUUUAAUGAUUAAUGGCUUUCGUUUUUUUAUAAGCAGAGGUUGGUAGCCUUUGCAUCAUUCAUAUGCUGGAGUCUAGAGAUCAUACACCGAAUCUGCACAUACCCUUAAUAAACUCGAUCAAGAAUCUCCUCAUGAAGAAUUGGAAUAUUUAUUUUAGACAAAUCUAUCGUGAGGCCAAUUUUGCGGCUGACUACUUGGUCAAAAAUGCAAGCUCUUACCUCUCGGAUUUCAAGAACCUUCUAUAGGUCUUGGUCCUUGGCUUUGUUAUGAUAUUUAUGGGACGAUAAUUCCUUGCUCUGUUGUGUCUUAGCUUAGCUAAGCCCUUUUUGAUAACAAAAAAACAAAAAAGAUUUUUAAGUACUCUCUAAGGGACGAGGCUCCUGGAGAUACAUUUUAUUAAUAAUCACACACUGGUAGCUUACAUACAGUAAGGUGGCUUAUGGUCAUAGCCAAAUAAGCACUUAAGUUUAUAUACAAAUUUAAGGGUGCAUGGCUUAUGGGUAUUGACAAUAAGCACUUAAUUCUUUUUGGUACUUCUUGAGAGGAAGAAGCUUAUUUAGUACAUAUAUAAACAGCCUUAAUUGGACAUUAAUCGAUAGCGCAUGCAUGGAUGCAAGCAUGCUUCAGUGGUCACUACAGUUCACAAGCUUGUAGUUAACAAUGAUGUGGCCUACAAGUUUGUGAACCGUAGCGACUGAAGCAUGCAUGCAUGUAUGUAUAUAUAUAUAUAUAUAUAUAUAUAUAUAUGUAUGUAUGUAUGUAUGUAUCUCCUACAUAGAAACAUAGAAUGAAUUAUUAGAAAAUGAGAAGGAAACAUGUUUAUAUGGGUAUUACUAGGAACGGGGUGGAGGGUAUUUUUAAAAACUUGAAUUAUUUUGUUUGUUUAAUGGGGUAAUGUUAGAAAAGGGGAUUUGCUAGGGAUUUAAAGGGAUGGCAAUAAUCCAACUCCUCAUUUUUUACUCGGUGUUGGUCCUUUGAUUGCAUUUAAAUGGUGGUGAUAUUUCCCACUUCAUUUGGCAAAGAUUUUAUGAGUAUGUACAAGGGAAAUUCUAUACGAACCGCAUGUUACCAAUAAGGAUUUCUGACGAUACCUCUACACCGCCUUUAACUUGUUACUUGUAUUAAGAGAAUUGUUGUCGGAAAUUCUUAGCGGCUAGGUAUUUUGAUCGAGCCAAAUUUUUAAUGUCGCAUCAUUACUUGAUGCAUGUAAUCUUAUUGCUCUUUAUAGGGACCAAUAUUCGCUCAAAUAGAUACAAUAGCUCUACCUGAUCAAAGAUUUUGGGUCCACCUUUGAUUACUACAACAACAAUUAAUAGAGAAAUACAACAUUGUAAUUAAACGAUCUUGUAAUUAAUUUAAUUUCAAUAUGAUCACAACACGGACAAAGUCAUUAUCAACUCAUAUUCUUUCACAUUCUUAAUUUAAUUAAAUUAAUCAACACUCUUAUUCAAUAAACACUUCAUCAAUUAUUACACUUAUUAUGUCUGUUUAUUUUAUUCAUAUUCAUAAUUUGAUUCAAUCUCCACAGUUAACGAACUGGUAGUCCACCAUGAGGUGACCUUGAGCAUUGCCUCUUCCAUCAGUAUCGAGCUGCCGGAAAACACCAGCGUCCAAAUCUAAACCUCCAUUGCUGCACUGAUCAACAAUUCUCACAGUUGCUUGAGCUCUUGUGGCUCUGUUAGUCACCUGCAUGCAAAUGCAAUUUCAAUUAAUUAAUUUCCUCUUCUGACUAUCAAGCUCUUAAUUUAUCACUAACACUUAUCCUACUCAUCCUACUCAUCCUACAAAUGUUUAAAGUACACAAAUAAGCAGAUUUGAUUGUUUAUAAAUUUGUGUUAACACUUGUCUUAAAUACUAUUAUUGAGCUUUUACCUAUCAGCUUAAACUUUUGGGUCAAGCGACUUCCUAAUAAUUUUUACUUUUAACUUUUUUACUUGUUUUAUUUUUGUGUUCAUUUUAAUGGUAAGGCUUAGCACGUAUUUAAGUAGAUAUAAUAAUACUUCUUUAUUUUAUUAAUAAAUAUCUAUGAAUCUGUCACAAUUUUCUAAAAAACGGUAAUAAAUAUAAAAUCUCGAAAACAUUUUGCUUUUAAAAAAUAAAAACACAUGAAAUAUUGAAAGGGAGGAUGAAUUUUGCUACCCUCUAAUGUAAAAAAUUUCACAGAAAAUUCAGCUCAACCACAAAACAAUCAAGAAUGAAAAUCGUAGAAAAAAUACGAGCAAUAAAACCCAAAAACUGUGGAUUGGAAAUAUCAAUAAUAUCUCAUACGUUGUGAUAUAUAGUUAUCUUACCCUUAAGCACUUGCCACAAGAAGCUUGUCCACGAGGCCCAACGGGGCCACAGAAGGCAGUCCAUCCGUAUUUCCUGCGCCAAGACAAGGGCUUGUUUGCAUCCCAUGUUGAGCAGUAAGCACUCACAGCAUUCAAGUCCCAUCCAUUUUGUUCAGGAUUGUAAAAGUGAUAAGUUGCUCUAACAUUAGAAGCACUUUGGCCAUCACCGCUGCUGCUGCUGCCGGGCCUACAAUUACUUUGACAAUUCUUAGAAGGUGAGCAAUACUCAUCAGUUGAGCCACAAUAACCAUACUGGCUGCAACAUAGGUUGUUGGCACAAGUCCGGCCACCGGCUUGCCGGCCGCAUUGCUGGGCAGAGGCAAUAGCCAUUGAACAAAUUAGCAACACCAUGCAUAGGCUUAAUUU
rnacentral:lncRNA from 1 species